rnacentral:rRNA from 1 species
UACGUAGGGUGCGAGCGUUGUCCGGAAUUAUUGGGCGUAAAGAGCUUGUAGGCGGUUUGUCGCGUCUGCUGUGAAAAUCCGGGGCUCAACCCCGGACUUGCAGUGGGUACGGGCAGACUAGAGUGUGGUAGGGGAGACUGGAAUUCCUGGUGUAGCGAUGGAAUGCGCAGAUAUCAGGAGGAACACCGGUGGCGAAGGCAGGUCUCUGGGCAUUAACUGACGCUGAGGAGCGAAAGCAUGGGGAGCGAACAGG